ensembl:lncRNA
AUGAUAUGCUGCCUGUUUUCUGGGUCCCCAGCCCAAGACAGCCACAAUCUGCAUUUCGUAGAUGCUGACAAGUCAGUGCAGCUGAAGCCAGCAGAUGCCAUGAGGGACUGGUGGCCAUCAGACAAGCUCCAGGCACCUCCAGGGAAAAACACAGUAAGAUUCUCCUGGACUUCUGUAGCUGGGUCCAUGAAGGUGCUUGAGUGGUCCCCUCAAACUCUGCCCUCUGCAGGUAAGUCAAAUAGGUCUAAGACCCAAUACCAGAAAGAAGUGCAUUUGCCUAAAAGCUACUAUUUCUUUAGGUAUCUACCAGCCUAGAACUAAACCUUUCAAACACCCUUUUUACAUCAGACAUGACGCAUGUCCUCAUAAAAAAUCGUGUUAUUUCAUUUCCUUGAAUAAAUAAACCAUGUAUCAUUUUUUCUGGCCAAAUUAAUUUCUUUCGAAGAGCUAGAUGUAAGCUAAAACCAACCAUAUAAACUCAGGAACAUUUUAUUAUUUUUGAUAGUAAAAUACUGCAACAACAUUCAAAACAGGAGUAACAGUAUAAAUCAGUAUAGUGUUUCCCCAGUUCAGUUAAUUUUAUUAUAGAGAUUGAUUCAGCUAGUACCACACCAGAUUUUCACUCUCCUCUAUGCUUCUGUUUCUCCUUAAGAGCAAAGUCGUUUUCAUGCAGUGGUUUUUCUGUGUUUAUUCUCUGAUAAAACAGGAGUCAGAGCCACCCUGGCUUACAACUGCAGCCUUAACCAGUCUCUGUGACAUACUUAAUUUGCAGCACUGGGUCCCUCAACAAUUGUAAGGUUCAUGCAGUACUGUUACUAAUUCGGUCAUUUAAAACCCUGAAUUCUUUAAGAAUGGGGAGAAGUUAUUUGUGAGCUUCUGCUUGAUGCUUGUUGUGCACAUAUUGCUCCUGAGUCCAUCGCCUUUUUUCCAGAACUUUGGUGUUGAGGGAUACAUUUAGGUAUUUAGGUAGUUAGAUCUGGGUGCAGCUACUUUGGAGCUGCAGGUUGAGCUCUGGGCAGGAGCCAGAGGCAAGAGGCCAUGAAUUGCCCAUUUUGUGGUGGGCUGAGCAGGACUCCAGCAGGGACUGUUAGGUCAUGGGAACCUGCCACGGUGAAAUGGUCCCAGAAGAGAAAGUGAGCAUGAGGGUGACUCUCAGAGUAUCUCCUCAAUGGUCUCACUGGGACGUUUCCCCAUGGUGAAAUGGUCCCAGCAGAGAAAGUGAGCAUGAGGGUGACUCUCAGAGUAUCUCCUUAAUGGUCUCACUGGGACGUUUCCUCAUUUUCCAGUUUGCUUGGGUGCCUUAUAGAUUACUCUCUUGGAAUUUACUGCUCAGGUUAAGCUUAAUUUUUGUUGUAAUUGCUGUUCAUGACAACUGGGUUUUUUUGUACAAAUAUUUCAUGUGAAGAAGUCAUGGAUGAUACAUUCUUCACUGUGCUCCUUUACAUUUCUCUGGAGGUAUGCUCUGAAAGAUGAGACAAUGUUGUAUUAUGUAGCACAUAAAACAGUGGUAUCUUUGCCCCUUUGUUGAAUUUUAUAGCUCUUCCCUGGCUUUGAAAAGGCACUCUCUAAACUUUUUAAAGUUUUUUCUGUAUGGUAAUCCAAGUGAAGGUCUGGACUGGGAAAAUGCAAGAGUAUAGUUAACCUACAUCAAGACUUUCUGUAGAGCUAAUGACACACACAGCGUAGGGUUGGAUUUUAUAAAAUUUUGAGUUUUACACACUUGUGAUACUGAGGAGUUCUAAGCAGUUAAAAAAUAUCUGAGGACACCUUUUCCUUAAGUAUUUUGUCAGCUGCUUGGUAGGGUGUUAUAUGGCACUUGGUAGGACCCUGCUAAAUGAUGCUUCAUUUUCCCUGAGUGAAGAAGAAUCACCUCCUUGUACAUGUUUUGGGUGGAACAAGACCAACGGGGUUUUUAUAGUUUACAUUUCAUUUGUACUUUCUGUUUUCUCACUGAACAGACCUCACCCUCAAAACAGUUAUACCUGACCUGAAAAUCUGGGAGGAGAGGGCAAGUCUGACCAGUUAAAAGAUUUGAGGUAGUCUUGAACUUCAUGAACACUAAGUCCUUCAUAGUCUGCCAGGUUUUAAACAGCAUUGGGGGAGCCCCUUCAAAAGCAAUUUACCAUAUUGCAGAUGACACACCCAAUGUGAGUCCCUCAUGACGUACCUGGCAUACUCUCCUUAGUAACAAACUGGUUCACCGAUUUUUUUUCACCCAGCCCCUCAUUUUUCCUCUCAGUUCCGCUUCCACUUAACAAACUAAUGUACUUCACUGUACUUAUAUCUAAUAACAGUUCCUUCUGUUAGCAAACUGAGAACCUCAGUUCAGAACCUUCUGGGCCAAAUUUCUGGCACCUCAUCUAGAAAAGAAAAUGCAACCAAAAGAAACCUCUGGCAGGCUCUUCCAUAAGAUGGAAUACAGGUAAAUGUAUAUAAAUCCACUGUGACUUCAUAUUUUAUGAAGUAAAUAAGCCACAUCAGAACAGACUAUUUUCUGUGAAGAUCUGCAAAACUGCAUUCAGGUAACAGGAAUGAGAAGGUUCCUCUGAGGUAAAGUGCAAACUGAAUGGAAUCUCUCUACAAGGGACUGCUUUAUAUUGCAACCAGGUUGGGUAAAUGCUUUCUAUGGCUGGAGAAAACCUGAAAACCAUUGCAGUUUAUUGUAUGUACCUGAAAACAAUGAAGAAAAGAGCAUAAUUAGGCAGUGUGCAGGACAGUAUCACAAUACCAAGCAUGAAUGAUGGGUUAGACUCUUUCCCACAGCAUUCAGAGCCCUGCAAGCUAACUUACUACUUGCAAACACAGAGUUUUAGCCACCAGAGGGUCCUAUCAAAGACAUGGCACUGAGACUCAGGCUUUCUGUCAGAUUAGGCAAGAGUACUGGGUUGCUCAGCACCUUGCAGUACUGAGGUCUUCAGAAAACGUGAAGCCCUGAAGCCAUAUAGGUGAGAGAUUAGGAGAAGAUGACGAUGAAAAGAGCAUUUAAUUUUAUUUUACAAAAUAGGUCACCCAAUACUCUUUGUCUCAAGUCAGAUCUGGUAUUCUGCUCAUCAGGCUGGGUGAACAGGUUGUUGCUCUCAUCUACUACUGACUGCUCUGCAUUUCUUUGCCUGUGGGGAACACUGCAGAGUUCCCUGGUGGAGAGUCAGGAAACCUACUACUGUUGUAAACAUAUUAGCCAAACUGGAAUGUUUUAAGAAAACCAUGUGAGGCAACAAAACCACACUACUUACUGAAAAGCAAUCCAAGACUUGCUGUAUUCAUAAUUCACAAAGAGCAAACUGCAACGCCUUUGGAAUGAAAAAAUAGAUAAAAUCUCACCUCAUCUGAAUUAUAGCAUCUGAUCUGCAACUGAAAUCCUUUGACCCAAACAGAUUUAAGACAAAAACUAAGUACCUUGUCUUUUAACAUGACAGCAGUGUACUCUUUCUGUUCCAUUAAGUGCAUCUAAUUGCAGUCCAAGGCUGCACAGGCUUCUUCAUCAAUAUAUAAUUUGUUUUUCAAAGCAUUCUGAAGAGAAAGAGAAUGAGUCAGAGAAGACCAAAAGACACGCUGAUUGAUCCUCAAAUCAGUACGUUUUAAUGUUCACUUAGAAGAGUGAGUUUGAAGGCAGACACUGCAUAAAAAAUACUUUCUUGCUUGUUUCUUUUUCUAGAGAAUUACCUGAUCUGACUUAGAGAGCACCAAUAAAAAGAAUGGUGAAACAAGCAAACAGAAAAACUAACUCUUCAAGGUACUUUUUGCACUGUUUGGAAAUAUUUCAUUAAAAAAACAUCAUCUUUGUCAGGAACAGAAAGGGCAACUGCAGACUUCAACCAGAAGGAGACAAAUAAAAGUAAUAAAACAAAAAGGUAUGAAAAAGUUAGCGCAAAUAAACACAGUAUUAACCUUUUCUUCAAUGACAUUAACUCAAUGCAUAAACCAUCCCAGUUUGUUCUCACCUUCAAGUAUCUCCUUUACUGGAGAAUUUGCUGCUCCAGCUGUUCUAUUAGAAAUGCUUUGAGAAAAACUGCUAUUGAAACUAUUUAUACUUUUUUAUAUUGCAGGUAAAUCAAUGCACAAAACAGUGUGCAUGGAACACUGGGGAAAUUCCUGAUUUAACUCUGAAUUAGCUAUUACUGAUACUAGUAAUACCUUAAACGCAUUGAACCUAGAAGGGCUUAUUUAGACAAAAUUAUCUGCCUCAGAUAAAUCUACUCUAAACUUCUAGAUAAUUU